AGUGUUUUGGGGACCUGGAUUUUGGGGUCCCUCACCCUGAAACCUCAAAACCUUCCUGGUGCCGACCCCCAGCUCUUCCUUCUCAUUCCAGUGGGGCAUUUUGGGGACCUGGAUUUUGGGGGGUGGGGACACCAACUCCGCCCCAUCCUCACCCUGAAACCCCAAAACCCCUGAACCCCAAAACCCCCAAAUCCCCAGCUCCUCGUUAUCAUUCCAGUGGCGUCUUGGGAGCCUGGAUUUUGGGGUCUUUCACCCUGAAACCCCAAAACCUUCCUGGUGCCGAUCCCCAGCUCCUCCUCCUCAUUCCAAUGGCCUUUGGGGACCUGAAUUUUGAGGGAUGGCGACAUCAACUCAGUCCCAACCUCACCUCACAGCCCUAAAACCCCCAAACCCCAAAAUCCCUGAAACCCAAAAUCCCCAAACCCCAAAAUCCCCAAACCCCCAGCUCCUCCUUCUCAUUCCAGUGGUGUUUGGGCACCUGGAUUUUCGGGCAUGGGGACAUCAACUCCGCCCCAUCCUCACUCUCAAACCCCAAAACCCCUGAACCCCAAACCCCCAAACCCCCUUUCCUCCCCUUUACUCCCAGGGGCAUUUUGGGGACCUGGAUUUUGGGGUCCCUCGCUCUGAAACCCCAAAACCUUCCCGGUGCUGACCCCCAGCUCCCCCCGUCACUCCCAGUAGAGUUUUGGGGACCUGGAUUUUGGGGGGCAGCCCAAAUUUUGCCAGAGUCCGGCAGAAUUCCCAGCCCCAGCGGGCAGCGAUGCCCUCUGGACCCUCAUGAAGGUCUCACCAUCAUCACCCUGCUGAAAAACCCCCAAAAUUCCCAAUUUUCCACCCAUUUCCCGUGGCCAGGAGCUCAGGUCGUUCCCUGGGCACCGAUCCGUGGCGCUGCUGGGAUCCCAGCACUUAAUCCCAAAUCCAUGGAGCAAAUUCCAUCCUGUUCCUCCUCCUCCUCCUCUCCAGCCCUUUGUGCAGAUAAACGGAGCCUGGCCAUGGAUCCAAACUCGGCUCUGGAAUUUUCCAAUCCGGCUGGCUCUGAGAAGAGCAGCUCCUUGACGGAGAAUUCUGCUCCUGGAACACCCCCGGAGCCGCUCGGAGGGGAAAAAAUGGGAAAAAUGGAAAAAGAAAUAAAUUUGGUUGUUUGGAGAUGGAAUAAAAGUGAGAAAAGCCCGGCUAGGAGGAGGAGGAGGAGGAAGAAGGGUCAGGGAAUUUUCCUCCAGAUGUUCUCAUUCCCCCAGCCCAGAGAGCUUUUCCCAUUUUUCCGCCACUUCCCGUUGAUCUGGGCUUGGCCUGAUGGGAAUGGGUGGGCAGNNNNNNNNNNNNNNNNNNN
rnacentral:lncRNA from 1 species